CGUGCCCGCUGGCGGUAUGCCUUACACAUGCAAGUCGAACGGCAGCACAGUAAGAGCUUGCUCGUACGGGUGGCGAGUGGCGGACGUGUUAGGAAUAAAUCUGUAUCGACGUUUGCGAGAGGGAGGCGGAAGGGAAAUUAAUGCGAAUAACGCACACCAGCUACGGGUGAAAGAAGUUCAUCUUCGGAGCUAGCGGGAUGGAAUGAGGCGAAGUCGGAUUAGGUAGUUGGCGGGGUAAACGCCCACCAAGGCGACGAUCAGGAGCUGGUCGAAGAGGAAGAACCGGCACAAUGGGACUGAGACACGGUCCAGACUCCUACGGGAGGCAGCAGUGGGGAAUUUUGGACAAUGGGCGCAAGCCUGAUCCAGCCAUACCGCGUGGGUGAAGAAGGCCUUCGGGUUGUAAAGCCCUUUUGUUGGGAAAGAAAAGCAGCAGGUUAAUACCGCGCUGUUCUGACGGUACCCAAAGAAUAAGCACCGGCUAACUUCGUG
rnacentral:rRNA from 1 species